GACGAACGCUGGCGGCGUGCUUAACACAUGCAAGUCGAACGGUAAGGCCCUUCGGGGUACACGAGUGGCGAACGGGUGAGCAACACGUGGGUGAUCUGCCCUGCACUUCGGGAUAAGCCUGGGAAACUGGGUCUAAUACCGGAUAGGACCACUGCCUGCAUGGGUGGGGGUGGAAAGCUUUUGUGGUGUGGGAUGGGCCCGCGGCCUAUCAGCUUGUUGGUGGGGUGAUGGCCUACCAAGGCGACGACGGGUAGCCGGCCUGAGAGGGUGACCGGCCACACUGGGACUGAGAUACGGCCCAGACUCCUACGGGAGGCAGCAGUGGGGAAUAUUGCACAAUGGGCGCAAGCCUGAUGCAGCGACGCCGCGUGAGGGAUGACGGCCUUCGGGUUGUAAACCUCUUUCAGCACCGACGAAGCGCAAGUGACGGUAGGUGCAGAAGAAGGACCGGCCAACUACGUGCCAGCAGCCGCGGUAA
rnacentral:rRNA from 1 species